CCCCUAGAUGUUCUGGGCCGCACGCGCGCUACACUGAACAGUUCAACAAGUCUUAACCUUGGCCGAUAGGUCUGGGUAAUCUUUGAACGCUGUUCGUGAUUGGGAUAGACCUUUGCAAUUAUGGGUCUUCAACGAGGAAUCCCUAGUAAACGCAAGUCAUCAGCUUGCAUUGAUUACGUCCCUGCCCUUUGUACACACCGCCCGUCGCACCUACCGAUUGAAUGGUCCGGUGAAAUCUCGGGACGGCGGCUCGGUCGCUUGCGUCCGACUGCUGAAACUUGAUUAAACCAUAUCAUUUAGAGGAAGGUGAAGUCGUAACA
rnacentral:rRNA from 1 species